rnacentral:rRNA from 1 species
GACGAACGCUGGCGGCGUGCUUAACACAUGCAAGUCGAACGGAAAGGCCCUGCUUUUGUGGGGUGCUCGAGUGGCGAACGGGUGAGUAACACGUGAGUAACCUGCCCUUGACUUUGGGAUAACUUCAGGAAACUGGGGCUAAUACCGGAUAGGAGCUCCUGCUGCAUGGUGGGGGUUGGAAAGUUUCGGCGGUUGGGGAUGGACUCGCGGCUGAUCAGCUUGUUGGUGGGGUAGUGGCUUACCAAGGCUUUGACGGGUAGCCGGCCUGAGAGGGUGACCGGCCACAUUAGGACUGAGAGACGGACCAGACGCCUACGGGAGGCAGCAGUGGGAAAUAUUGCACAGUGGGCGGAAGCCUGAGGCAGCAACGCCGCGUGCGGGAUGACGGCCUUCGGGUUGUAAACCGCUUUCGCCUGUGACGAAGCGUGAGUGACGGUAAUGGGUAAAGAAGCACCGGCUAACUACGUG